rnacentral:rRNA from 1 species
GAUGAACGCUGGCGGCGUGCCUAAUACAUGCAAGUCGAGCGAACGGACGAGAAGCUUGCUUCUCUGAUGUUAGCGGCGGACGGGUGAGUAACACGUGGAUAACCUACCUAUAAGACUGGGAUAACUUCGGGAAACCGGAGCUAAUACCGGAUAAUAUUUUGAACCGCAUGGUUCAAAAGUGAAAGACGGUCUUGCUGUCACUUAUAGAUGGAUCCGCGCUGCAUUAGCUAGUUGGUAAGGUAACGGCUUACCAAGGCAACGAUGCAUAGCCGACCUGAGAGGGUGAUCGGCCACACUGGAACGGAGACACGGUCCAGACUCCUAAGGGAGGCAGCAGUAGGGAAUCUGCCGCAAUGGGCGAAAGCCUGACGGAGCAACGCCGCGUGAGUGAUGAAGGUCUUCGGAUCGUAAAACUCUGUUAUUAGGGAAGAACAUAUGUGUAAGUAACUGUGCACAUCUUGACGGUACCUAAUCAGAAAGCCACGGCUAACUACGUG